rnacentral:rRNA from 1 species
GAUGAACGCUGGCGGCGUGCCUAAUACAUGCAAGUCGAGCGAACAGACGAGGAGCUUGCUCCUUCGACGUUAGCGGCGGACGGGUGAGUAACACGUAGGUAACCUACCUAUAAGACUGGGAUAACUUCGGGAAACCGGAGCUAAUACCGGAUAAUAUUUCGAACCGCAUGGUUCGAUAGUGAAAGAUGGCUUUGCUAUCACUUAUAGAUGGACCUGCGCCGUAUUAGCUAGUUGGUAAGGUAACGGCUUACCAAGGCAACGAUACGUAGCCGACCUGAGAGGGUGAUCGGCCACACUGGAACUGAGACACGGUCCAGACUCCUACGGGAGGCAGCAGUAGGGAAUCUUCCGCAAUGGGCGAAAGCCUGACGGAGCAACGCCGCGUGAGUGAUGAAGGUCUUCGGAUCGUAAAACUCUGUUAUUAGGGAAGAACAAACGUGUAAGUAACUGUUCACGUCUUGACGGUACCUAAUCAGAAAGCCACGGCUAACUACGUG